CCCUUAGAUGUUCUGGGCCGCACGCGUGCUACACUGAGUAAUUCAAUGGGUAAGGGAACGCUAGAGCAUUACCUAAUCUUGAAAUUUGCUCGUGAUGGGGAUCGACGGUUGCAAUUUUCCGUCGUGAACGAGGGAUACCUUGUAGGCGCAUGUCAUCAUCAUGCGCCGAAUACGUCCCUGCCCUUUGUACACACCGCCCGUCGCUCCUACCGAUUGAGUGAUCCGGUGAGGCUCUGGGACCUGGACGGAAAGAGCGUUUCGCUUGUUCUGUUUGGGAAACUUGGUCGAACCUUAUCAUUUAGAGGAAGGAGAAGUCGUAACA
rnacentral:rRNA from 1 species